rnacentral:rRNA from 1 species
AGAGUUUGAUCCUGGCUCAGGAUGAACGCUGGCGGCGUGCCUUAGGCAUGCAAGUCGAACGGGCUAGUUUACUAGUCAGUGGCGGAAGGGUGAGUAACGCGUGGGAACGUACCCUUUGGUAGAGUACAGCUCGCCGAAAGGCGGGGUAAUACUGUAUAAGACCGAAAGGUGAAAGGGCUUAACCGCCCGCCGAAGGAGCGGCCUGCGUCUUAUCAGCUUGUUGGUGGGGUAAAGGCCUACCAAGGCAAUGACGAGUAGCUGGGCUGAGAGGUCGGCCAGCCACAAUGGAACUGAGACACGGUCCAUACACCUACGGGUGGCAGCAACCGGGAAUCUUGGACAAUGGGCGAAAGCCUGAUCCAGCGACGCCGCGUGGGGGAAGAAGGCCUUCGGGUUGUAAACUCCUUUUGUUUAUCAUAAUGGUAAAAGAAUAAGCACCUGCCAACUACGUGCCAGCAGCCGCGGUGAUACGUAGGGUGCAAGCGUUAUCCGGAUUUACUGGGCGUAAAGGGUUGCGUAGGCGGUCUAUUAAGUCAUUAUUCAAAUCUCUUCGCUUAACGAAGAAUCGGGUUUUGAUACUGAUAGACUUUGAGUCUUGGAGGGGUAGCCGGAACUUGCAGUGGAGCGGUGAAAUGCGUUGAGAUGCAAGGGAACACCGAUGGCGUAGGCAGGCUACUGGUCAAGUACUGACGCUGAUGCACGAAAGCUAGGGGAGCGAAGCGGAUUAGAGACCCGCGUAGUCCUAGCCGUAAAUGAUGGACACUAGAUGCUUGGUCUUAAGGCUGGGUGUCGCAAGCUAACGCGUUAAGUGUCCCGCCUGGGGAGUACGACCGCAAGGUUAAAACUCAAAGGAAUUGACGGGGACCUGCACAAGCGGUGGAGCAUGUGGUUUAAUUCGAAACAAAGCGAAAAACCUUACCAGGGUUUGACAUGUAAGCUGCAAGCUUUUAGGAAACUAAGAGCCUUCUUCGAGAGUGUUUACACAGGUGCUGCAUGGCUGUCGUCAGCUUGUACCGUGAGGCGCACCCUUAAGUGGGUUAACAAGCGCAACCCCCAUCCUAUGUUAAUUUUCAUGGGAAACUGCCCGCUAAACGCGUGGAGGAAGGAGGGGAUGACGUCAAGUCAGCACGGCCCUUAUGCCCUGGGCUACACACAUCCUACAAUGGGUAAAAACAACGGGUUAUGCAACUUGGUAACAAGAAGCUAAUCCCUUAAAAUUACCCCCAGUUCGGAUUGAGGGCUGAAAUUUGCCCUCAUGAAGUUGAAAUCGCUAGUAAUCGCGGAUCAGCAGGCCGCGGUGAAUACGUUCUCAGGUCUUGUACACACCGCCCGUCAAGCCAACAAAGUUGGGAGAGCCCGAAAUAUCCUUUUUUAGGGUCCUAAGGCUAGCCCGGCGAUGGGGACUAAGUCGUAACAAGGUAACC